GAUGAACGCUGGCGGCGUGCCUAAUACAUGCAAGUCGAGCGAACGGACGAGAAGCUUGCUUCUCUGAUGUUAGCGGCGGACGGGUGAGUAACACGUGGAUAACCUACCUAUAAGACUGGGAUAACUUCGGGAAACCGGAGCUAAUACCGGAUAAUAUUUUGAACCGCAUGGUUCAAAAGUGAAAGACGGUCUUGCUGUCACUUAUAGAUGGAUCCGCGCUGCAUUAGCUAGUUGGUAAGGUAACGGCUUACCAAGGCAACGAUGCAUAGCCGACCUGAGAGGGUGAUCGGCCGCACUGGAACUGAGACACGGUCCAGACUCCUACGGGAGGCAGCAGUAGGGAAUCUUCCGCAAUGGGCGAAAGCCUGACGGAGCAACGCCGCGUGAGUGAUGAAGGUCUUCGGAUCGUAAAACUCUGUUAUUAGGGAAGAGCAUAUGUGUAAGUAACUGUGCACAUCUUGACGGUACCUAAUCAGAAAGCCACGGCUAACUACGUG
rnacentral:rRNA from 1 species